AUACGGAGGGUCCAAGCGUUAUCCGGAAUCAUUGGGUUUAAAGGGUCCGUAGGCGGGCAAUUAAGUCAGAGGUGAAAUCCCACAGCUCAACUGUGGAACUGCCUUUGAUACUGGUUGCCUUGAGUUAUAGUGAAGUAGAUAGAAUAUGUAGUGUAGCGGUGAAAUGCAUAGAUAUUACAUAGAAUACCGAUUGCGAAGGCAGUCUACUAACUAUAUACUGACGCUGAUGGACGAAAGCGUGGGGAGCGAACAGAAUUAGAAACCCUAGUAGUCC
rnacentral:rRNA from 1 species